rnacentral:rRNA from 1 species
UACGUAGGUGGCGAGCGUCGUCCGGAAUUAUUGGGCGUAAAGCGCGCGUAGGUGGGAUAUUAAGUCUAUUCUAAAAGUGCGGGGCUCAACCCCGUAAAGGGAUGGAAACUAAUAUUCUUGAGUACCGGAGAGGAAAGCGGAAUUCCCAGUGUAGCGGUGAAAUGCGUAGAUAUUGGGAGGAACACCAGUGGCGAAGGCGGCUUACUGGACUGUAACUGACACUGAGGCUCGAAAGCGUGGGGAGCAAACAGG